rnacentral:rRNA from 1 species
CCAGCACCCCGAGUGGUCGGGACGAUUAUUGGGCCUAAAGCAUCCGUAGCCGGUCCUGCAAGUCUUCCGUUAAAUCCAGCUGCUCAACAGAUGGGCUGCGGAGGAUACUACAGGGCUAGGAGGCGGGAGAGGCAAGCGGUACUUUAUGGGUAGGGGUAAAAUCCGUUGAUCCAUAGAAGACCACCAGUGGCGAAGGCGGCUUGCCAGAACGCGCUCGACGGUGAGGGAUGAAAGCUGGGGGAGCAAACCGGAUUAGAUACCCGGGUAGUCCCAGCUGUAAACGAUGCAGACUCGGUGAUGGGUUGGCUUCGUGCCAACCCAGUGCCGCAGGGAAGCCGUUAAGUCUGCCGCCUGGGGAUACGGUCGCAAGACUG